rnacentral:rRNA from 1 species
AACGAACGCUGGCGGCAUGCCUAACACAUGCAAGUCGAACGAGACCUUCGGGUCUAGUGGCGCACGGGUGCGUAACGCGUGGGAACCUGCCCUUAGGUUCGGAAUAACUCCCCGAAAGGGGUGCUAAUACCGGAUAAUGUCUUCGGACCAAAGAUUUAUCGCCUUUGGAUGGGCCCGCGUUGGAUUAGCUAGUUGGUAGGGUAAAAGCCUACCAAGGCGACGAUCCAUAGCUGGUCUGAGAGGAUGAUCAGCCACACUGGGACUGAGACACGGCCCAGACUCCUACGGGAGGCAGCAGUGGGGAAUAUUGGACAAUGGGCGAAGGCCUGAUCCAGCAAUGCCGCGUGAGUGAUGAAGGCCUUAGGGCUGUAAAGCUCUUUUACCCGGGAUGAUAAUGACAGUACCGGGAGAAUAAGCUCCGGCUAACUCCGUG